rnacentral:rRNA from 1 species
CUACGGGACGCACCAGCAGGGAAUAUUGCACAAUGGACGGAAGUCUGAUGCAGCGACGCCGCGUGGAUGAUGAAGGCCCUCGGGUUGUAAAAUCCUUUUCAGGGGGACGAGGAAGGACGGUACCCUUGGAAUAAGCGUCGGCUAACUACGUGCCAGCAGCCGCGGUAAGACGUAGGACGCAAGCGUUAUCCGGAUUUACUGGGCGUAAAGCGUCUGUAGGCGGAAUGGUAAGUUGGACGUGAAAGCUCCGGGCUCAACGCGGAGAGGUCGUUCAAUACUGCCAAACUAGAGGGCAUCAGAGGAGCGUGGAAUUUCCGGUGUAGCGGUAAAAUGCGCAGAUAUCGGAAGGAACACCAAUGGCGAAGGCAGCGCUCUGGGAUGAACCUGACGCUAAGAGACGAAAGCUAGGGGAGCGAACAGGAUUAGAUACCCGUGUAGUC